CUUCCUCAUGCAGCAACACUUAUAAUCAAAGAGAGUGAGCAAGUUGAGCAGAGUCUCGCAACAGGUGCUUCACAGGUGUGGUGUCACAAUGCAUAAGAGCCAGAAGAGCACAGGCAGGAGUGCAGUGUUCUACAAACCAGUAGGAAUUACG